GGGUGUACUUAACGUUUGCUUCGGCAAACUACAUCC
rnacentral:misc_RNA from 1 species